GCUGGGUGUGGUGGCACACACCUGUAAUCCCCUCUACUCAGGAGGCUGAGGCAGGAGGAUUGCAAGUUCCAGGUUGGCCUUAGAAAUUUAGGGAGAUCCUAU
rnacentral:sRNA from 1 species